GGGGCUUCACUGAACAGCUGGGCCCUUAGGAGGGGAGGGACUUGAGUGAAUCGUGCCCCAAAGUGGGCUUGGCCUCGGGAGGGGCGGGGCAUAGGUGUGCUGUGUCCACCACGUGGGCGGGGCCUGGUGGGGUUGUGACUGUGAAAUGAAGAGGCGAGGUCUAGAGGGGCGGCCGGACAGGAAAACUCUUCAGGUGAAGAUAGUUGAUGACGAGGAAUAUGAGAAAAAGGAUAAUUUCUUCAUUGAGCUGGGCCAGCCCCAGUGGCUUAAGCGAGGGAUUUCAGCUCUGCUACUCAAUCAAGGGGAUGGGGACAGGAAGCUAACAGCCGAGGAGGAGGAGGCUCGGAGGAUAGCAGAGAUGGGCAAGCCAGUUCUUGGGGAAAACUGCCGGCUGGAGGUCAUCAUCGAGGAGUCGUAUGAUUUUAAGAACACGGUGGAUAAACUCAUCAAGAAAACGAACUUGGCCUUGGUAAUUGGGACCCAUUCAUGGAGGGAGCAGUUUUUAGAGGCAAUUACGGUGAGCGCAGGGGAUGAGGAGGAGGAGGAGGACGGGUCCCGGGAGGAGC
rnacentral:sRNA from 1 species